UCUUAGACUAUAAGCAACACUGUCUUAUUAAAAGGAACGAUUUCAUUGGGGGAUAUUGGGAUAUGACAACUGACAAGAAGACAUAGAUACAAAAAUGGCGUCGGCGUGACUAUUUCCAUCAUAGCAUAUUAGGUCUAUUUUCUAUUUUGUGUUGUGUGGUUUAGUUUUCCUAUAAAAAUAGAGAGCAAAUAGCGAAGAAGACUAUUGAUGACCAGUGGAAACGAUAGUGGAAGGGGAAUAUUUGGUAACAUCUAGGGGAUUUUCAACAAAGCUACAAUGUCAUGUGGUCACUAUGUCUUGGAACGAUUUCAUUGGGGGAAUUCAUUUCAUGUGACGUUGACAUAACAAUGGCGUCGGCGUGACUAGUUAUGUACCAUGGUUUUGUAGAUUAUACUUGUUUUAAAUAUGAAAAUGGAGAGCAAAUAGUGGAAAAGUCUAUUGUUGACCAUCAGAAACGAUAUUAUGGAAGGUAACUGAACAUACUUCAAUGGAUGUUAUUAUCGGGUGUUAUAAUUGGAGGAAGGAAUGUGGUGGGAUAAUACAAAAAAAACAUCUAGAUAGGUCUUGGAAUAUACAAAGAAUAAGUCUGGUCGAACCUGGGGAGGUAGCUGUUAAAUACCAACAAUUAUUUACUUUACACCCAUGUGGUAACCAUGAACUUUAUGGAUCUGAUUUUCGUUGGAUGUUACCAUCUGGUGUAGUAAUUGUCAUAGGAAUCUGAUAUGGGAUAUUAUAAAAACAAAAAAAACAUACGAUGGUCUUGCACUAUACAGAAGAUAAGUCUGGAUGCAAUCAGAUCAAAAGAAGGCUACUGCACAAAUAUUCAUUUUCUGAUCAUUUGGUAAAUAUGUGAAAAUUAUAGUCAAGCUUGGAAUAAUUCACAAUGAAGAAAAGGAUACAAUAGCAAAAUGUGAGAUGGAAAUGGCUGCGAAAAAUUGUGGAAAGCUUUCCUACAUUACUGCGAAGAAUCCGAAGAAAUUAAAGGUCACAUUCAUACAGGUGAAAUAAUUUAUCAAAUAGAAACAGAGUGUAGCAAUUUUUUAUUAGUUGAAUUAGUAGGCUCUGGAACAGGAAUUUUCUCACUGUUAGUAUUUCUCAAGUCUUGCAACCAUUUGAGUCAUUCUUCAUUUACUAAAAGUUCUAAUUCAUCCUUUAAUUCAAAACUCAUUUUCCAAAUGUCUUAAAAAAAAUCUUGCUCUGAUAGCAUAGUGGCAAAGAAACCCAAGAGGGUAACAAAUUGACUAUCAAUUGAUUAUCAACAUUUUUCUUUAGUAGUUGUUGCUUUCUCUUCUAAAAUUUCCUCAAUUUCCUUGGAUGGACUUUGCUCAAUAACAAUCUUCUUUUUUUAUGGUCCCAUAUAUUAUAUGGAAACCAUCUCUCUUGUGAACCUCUUGGAAACUAGUUAUCAAAUCUAAUACCCAAUCCACAGAACGAUCACUGUCUAAAUAGUGAUCCAUAUAAUAUUGUUCCAUAAUUACCUUUGCUGUCACAAGAAAUUCAUGAUUAUCAUUUUGUCCUUUGAUAGUGGUGUGAAUCAUUCUCUUCAUUAACAGAGGAUCAGUUGAACCUGUAGUUCCCAAAAAUUAGGUUAACUCUUUAUAUUUUUAUAUGUUUAUAAUGGACCUUUCAUAAUAAAGCAGAUGUGGGAACUUCGUUUUUAAGGUUUUUAAAAAUUAUAGGAUCUAUGCGCAAUAAAACUUUCUUUUCUCUUUUUUUUGCAUAUCUCAUUUUUUCUGUGUCAGAAAUUGGUGCUGCCGGGAAUAUUCUGAUUUAGUAAGUCUCAAUGGAAUUUAUUACAACCAUCUUUGUUGCAACUUUUUUCUUUCUACAAUAUCUGAUCCGAUGAUUGUUAUGCAAGCAACAGAAACAAAUUUUAUUUUCCUUGUACCCAUUCUCGUCCGCAGUCUGAAUCUAGCUGCUGGAAGUUACUGCAAGUAGAUGUAGUUCAUUUCAAAGUACAUGCAAUUGAAUUUACUAGUAUGGUUCUACUCACUGGUGGCACAUAUUUUUCUUUCUUCCAAGAUCAGUAUCAGGAUGACUUAUUAUUUUGCUAUCUCACCAAACCACAGAAAUCAGAAAUAUAGAUGUUAUCAGUUUUAACAUUUAGUUCACUCACUUUUUUGUUCUAUUCAAAUUUCAAUGUUGUCGACAACUUGGAAACUAGCUCAGUGAGCUGUGGAUUGAAAAAUUAUGUUGUCACAGUUUUAAACAGAUUCUGAACUGCUAUGAGAGAUCAAUUAUUGGUAGUUCCUUGGGAAUAAACCACCUUCAUAAGAACUUGCUUAUUUUAUCAUCUUGAAAGAAAGUUGAAGGUUAUGAAUGGUUUCUUUCAAGUCUUUAUUACAAUAAGAGAAACUUUGAUUUUCGAAUAUUAGAAAAAUAACAGACAUUUGUAUGAAACUGAAAGUAUUGUCACAUACCCCAAAUUAAAAGAGUAGUCCACAAAUUUUUAUUCUAAAACAUAAAAUACAAAAAUAUGUUAAUAAAAAAAUAUCUUAAGAUAUCCAAGAAUAUUUCUUACAAUUUAUAGUGCCUAUUUGAUUCGAUGGAAUAUAGAAGUUGUUAAAUAAACUCAAAUCACACUUGUAAAAUUGCCGUAGGUAGGAAACUAAUAUUGCUUUUUUUGUUAUUAUGUGAAAAGACUUUCAGAUGAAAUCUCUGUUUUCUGAACAAUACUUCAAGUUUGUAUACCGACAUAAUAUUUCAAAUUGCAUUAUACGUAAAAUAUAAUAAAAUAAAGAAAUGUUCCCAACCUAUAACCUAACCUAUAAGAGUCGAUUUGGAACGUCUUUCAACGUUGUCGACUCCUUAUCACUACACUUUUCGAUCCUUUGCAAUCUUCCUGUCUUAGGUUUUGUUUUAUUUACCCGACCUCAAUAAAUAUAUCGAUUUAAAAUUG